UUUCACAAGCCAAGUAGUCACAGACUUUUCAGUCUCUCCACGCCAACCUCUCAUAUGUUUGUUUUUCUUUAAGUUGGAUUCACCCAACCCCCACCCCAGGGAAAGAGUAGGCUCCCUAAAUCCCAGGCUUGCAGCUGGCAUUUCAGCGUGGUCAUUACUACAUCUGCACCAUCAGCACAGAGGCACAGGUGCUGCCUUGCAUAAACCAAAGAUUGAUUUGCAGGUUAUCCAUGAGGAGCUUUCCAGUCAUAACAUUUUUCUCCAAUCAAGAUUCCAAAGCAGAAAGGGAAGAAGAGAUGAAUAGCAACCUGAACAUUUAACAACUGAGAGCUCUUGCAAACCAGGCUCUGAAAAUAUUCUCUAUCAACAUUAGAAUGGCACCAAGUCAAGGGCACAUGAGGAAACCCCUCCCAACUGCAGGAUGAGAUGUCUGAAAUACCUGACGUAGAGCAUAUUAAGAGAACAAUUAUCUGUGUCCAGCUUUAUCAUCUAUAAUAUAUGUUUUAUACACUCAUCAAGCAAAGAUGCUUUAGUUUGCUGAACCCAGUGAAUCACAGAGACUUUUGCAAAUGUGAAGAAAUAGUAUGUAGCUGCAGGAUACUGCAGGCUCCUUUGCUAACUGGAAGAUUAGUUGCUGUAUUUUGCAAAACCCCAAACUUCAACCCAACCCAUUCUCUCUUAACCAAGAUAAACUGCCGUCAACCCAGCAUCUUCCUCUUCCAUUCCCUACCCAUUUCUAUUUAGAGAAGAAAGAACUGAAAACUGAUAUUAAUAUAUUGCUGUAUGAGUGUUUUGGAAUAAGAGAGGAGGAAAUAGGCCUACUCCCCUUCUCUCUUCCCUCUCCUGAAUCUAAAGCCAACCUGAUGCAAUAGGGAAGAGUGGUGGGAGCAGAAAGAAGCUGAACCUCGGUGGGGAAGUGCAAUUGUGAUUUCCUCUAAUAGGCCGAAAACAAGAACAACAUUCCUGGCAUUCAACUACAAGGAAGCCCAAUACCCCGGGUGCCAUAAGACUUCCAGUAUGCCUGCCUGAGCUUUGAAAGAGAGGAGAGGAAGCCAAGUCAUCCAGCAGAUCGGACCCACAAGCUCAUCCUCUAGUUUUUUUCAAGGGGCACCAUUCCUGUAAGGAAAGCUUUCUUGGGCUUGGCUGUAGAAUCUUCCAGAAAUGUAAACAAAAGAGUAAGAGCCAAAGACCAAGAACCCUGGCUGGUGAGAGUCAGAGGGCCAGAAUUUAGUGUAAAGCCCGCUCUAAAGACUGUUAACACUUCCUUUCCACCACUGCAUCGAUGAUUGUUUGAAAAAGUGAUUGUUUGUGAUAGACUGGAUUAAGAAAAUGUGGCACAUAUACACCAUGGAAUACUAUGCAGCCAUAAAAAAUGAUGAGUUCAUGUCCUUUGUAGGGACAUGGAUGAAAUUGGAAAUAUCAUUCUCAGUAAACUAUCGCAAGGACAAAAAACCAAACACCGGAUGUUCUCACUCAUAGGUGGGAAUUGAAUAAUGAGAACACGUGGACACAGGAAGGGGAACAUCACACUCUGGGAACUGUUGUGGGGUGGGGGGAGAGGGAAGGGAUAGCAUUAGGAGAUAUACCUAAUGCUAAAUGACGAGUUAAUGGGUGCAGCACACCAGCAUGGCACAUGUAUACAUAUGUAAC
rnacentral:lncRNA from 1 species